UUAAGUUUGACAUUUUGUGUUUUGACAAUUUCUAAUUGUCAAUUCAAAUUUGCUAUUUUCAAGCGUUACGUUGUUACCAACCGCUAGAUACCUAUUCCCCUACAUUGUCAAAAUUUAUUUUAUUUUUGUUAAAAAAAAAGGAUAAAAACGCGAAUUACAAAAAAUAGCAUAAAAAUCACGUUUCGUAAGACUUAAAGCACUCAUUCAUUAAAAAACUCGUAAAAUAAUCAUUAAUUUCUGACAAUGACAAGUAAGAUGUAAACAAAGCCAAUUUUUAGGUUAUAAACAAGUUUGUGGUUAUGAUUGUUUUCGUUGAUUUUUGUGGCGAAAAAUGGGUUUAUUUCACCCCCUUUAUACAUAUACAUAUAAAAAAAGUUGUUUUUAAUAAGAAUUGGGUCAAUUAGGAGAUCUUAAAUAGUGGAGGAGUAAAAUAUGGUGAAAAUUGAGAAAAAAUUUUAAGGUUAAGAAAGAAGAAUUUAUCUUUGCAAAUUAAGUCGGAUAAAGAAAAUGGAGCAACUUUUUUCUUGUGUAUUUCGAAGAAUCUUUAGAAGAAAAUUAAUUGAAGAAUUAAGAUGAAGAAAAGAACGUUUAAUUUUAUGGAAAACAACAUUAAAACAAGGUUGGUAGCCCUUCAGAUCAGCUGUCAUGUCAUCCCUUUAGUUUAUUUCUAUCUUGUCAUUGUUAAAUUUGUGUUGGUUUUUAUAUUUUUCAUCAUUUCGCCGCUUUAUUUUAUUUAAACGCUGCAUAUUUUAAUCGGAGUUACUUACUUUGAAGUAUUUCGAAGAAUCUUUAAAAGAAAAUUAAUUGAAGAAAUAAUUUUAUGGAAAUCAACAUUAAAGCAAGAAACACCUGUAUAAGGAGCUCUUGGUGCCAACAUUAAAGAAUUCCAUGGAAAAGUUUCUUGGAUUUACUGGAUUUUCUAAUAAUUAUUAUUAAUUUAAUGUAAUUUUGCAAUCAGCAACACAAUAUACGACUGUGUAUGCUUGGUUGCAUAUUUCAUAAAUAAGAAAAUUAAUAAAAUGUAUUGUUAAAUAUUAAAUA